UACAGAGGUCUCAAGCGUUGUUCGGAUUCAUUGGGCGUAAAGGGCGCGUAGGCGGCGAGGUAAGUCGGGUGUGAAAUCUCAGAGCUCAACUCUGAAACUGCACUCGAUACUGCUUUGCUAGAGGACUGGAGAGGAGAUUGGAAUUCACGGUGUAGCAGUGAAAUGCGUAGAUAUCGGGAGGAACACCUGUGGCGAAAGCGGCGCACUGGACCACAUCUGACGCUGAGGCGCGAAAGCUAGGGGAGCAAACAG
rnacentral:rRNA from 1 species